rnacentral:ncRNA from 2 species
AGAGGAAGUCCGGUGCGAAUCCGGCGCGGUCCCGCCACUGUCACCGGGGAGUGCACUCCCAACCCGUACGUCACGGCCGGCCCCGCCGGUUGGAAGACCGGGAGUGCGUAGAUCCGGGAGCCAGGAGACUC